rnacentral:rRNA from 1 species
GGCGAUCUAGGCAUGGCCAGGUUGAAGGUGCGGUAACACGCACUGGAGGACCGAACCGGUGAAUGUUGAAAAAUUCUCGGAUGAGCUGUGUUUAGGGGUGAAAGGCCAAUCAAGCCGGGAAAUAGCUGGUUCUCCGCGAAAUCUAUUGAGGUAGAGCGUCGGAUGUAUGCCGAUGGGGGUAGAGCACUGGAUGGGCUAGGGCU